rnacentral:rRNA from 1 species
UACGGAGGUGGCAAGCGUUGCUCGGAAUCACUGGGCGUAAAGGGCGCGUAGGCGGGGAGGUAAGUCGGGUGUGAAAUCCCUCGGCCCAACCGAGGAACUGCGCCCGAGACUGCUUCUCUUGAGUCCCGGACAGGAAGAUGGAAUUCCCGGUGUAGCGGUGAAAUGUGUAGAGAUCGGGAGGACCACCAGUGGCGAAGGCGGCGAUCUGGACAGAUAUUGACGCUGAGGUGCGAAAGCGUGGGGAGCAAACAGG